AAUAAUAAUAGGAACGCUGGCCAGGCGCAGUGGCUCACUCCUGUAAUACCAGCACUUUGGGAGGCCAAGGUGAGCGGAUUACGAGGUCAGGAGAUCGAGACCAUCCUGGCUAACACGCAGUGAAGUCUUGAUCGCCUGGCUUCAAGUGAACCUCUGGAGAGACAGGACUAGCUGGAUUUUCUAGGCCAACUAAGAAUCCCUAAGCCUAGCUGGGAAGGUGACUACAUCCACCUUUAAACAUGGGGCUGGCAACUUAGCUCACACCCAACCAAUAAGGUAGUAAAGAGAGCUCACUAAAAUGCUAAUUAGGCAAAAACAGGAGGUAAAGAAAUAGCCAAUCAUCUAUUGCCUGAGAGCACAGAGGAAGGGACAAUGAUCGGGAUAUAAACCCAGGCAUUCAAGCCAGCAAUGGCUACCCUCUUUGGGUCCCCUCCGUUUGUAUGGGAGCUCUGUUUUCAUGCUAUUUUAAAGUCUUGCAACUGCACACUCUUCUGAUCCAUGUUUGUUACAGCUUGAGCUGAGCUUUUGCUCACCAUCCAGCAAUGCUCUUUGCCACCAUCACAGACCCGCCACUGACUUCCAUCCCUCUGGAUCCAGCAGGGUGUCAGCUGUGCUCUUGAUCCAGUGAGGCACCUGUUGCCACUCCCAGUUGGGCUAAAGGCUCACCAUUGUUCCUGCAAGGCUAAGUGCGCGGGUUUGUCUAGUUGAGCUGAACUAGUUGAGCUGGGUUCCACAGUUCUCUUCUGUGACCCAUGACUUCUAAUAGAGCUGUAACACUCACAGCAUGGCCCGAGAUUCCUACUUGGAAUGCAUGAGGCCAAGAACCCCAGGUCAGAGUAGAAGAGGCUCACCACCAUCUUGGAAGUGGCCCCCACCAUCUUGGGAGCUCUAGAAGCAAGUCCCCCUGGCAACCUUUUGGCAACCACAAAGGGACCUCCAAAGCAGUGAGUAAUAUUGGACCACUUUUGCUUGCUAUUCUGUCCUACCCUUCCUUAGAAUUGGAGGAAAAUACUGGGCACCUGUCAGGUAGUUAAAAACGUUAGCAUGGUGCUGGACUUAAGACUCAGGUAUGAGGCUGUCUGGGAUAGAGCUUUCUAACAAUCUCAACCCUUCUUGGUCGGGAGCAUUGGUCUGCCUAGAACCAGCAUCCUCUUUGAUUAUUCCUGGGGAAGCAGAGGGCUAACUAGAGGCAGAAAGCUGUCAUCCCUAACUCCCAGCAUUAGCUGUUUGAGAUCAUGGUGCAGCCAGAAGUCUCUACUCAACAGUCGCCCAUGCGUGUGCCCCCACCUUUCCUUCUGAUCUAUACCUCCUGGGUCCUGACCAUGACUUUCUUGAAAGUGUAGCCCCAAAAUUCUCCUUACUUCUGAAUCUACUUCCUCCAAUCCCUGCCUCCUAAUUAAUAAUGGUUCAGACUUUCAUUUCCUCUAGCAAGUUGUAUCUCCAAAGGGAUCUAAGGAAGCUCUAAGCUGCAUCCUUAGGCCCCUAGGCUAUGAACCCAGAGAGUCUUUUCCCUGAUAUCCCUCCCAAUUUAUGCAUACAGCUCUCAACAUGGGCAGUUAUGUGGGACCCAUUCCCCACUACCCUUGCCAAGGCCCCAGGUUUCUAAAGGGCUAGCAGAAAACAGAGAGACAGAGGGGAGAGAAAGAGAGAGAGGCAAAGCAAGAGUCAAAAAGAGAAAGAAAGAAGAAAGAGAAAGAAAGAUAGAAGAAAAAAACAGUGUGCCCUAUUCCUUUAAAAGCCAGGGUAAAUUUAAAGCCUGUAAUUGAUAAUUGAAGGUCUUCUCCAAGACCCUAUAACACUCCAAUACUACCUUGUUGGCAUUGUAAACAAGGUCAUAACCUGAAAACACUGAGACCACUGGCAACUCGUAGCCAUCCUAUCAAAAAUCCUUAACCCAGGAACCUACAGAUGGCCCAAAUGCAUUCAAUUUGUAGCAGUAACUACUUUGCUAACAGAAGAAAGUAGAAAAGUAACUUUUGGGCGAAACCUCUUUGUGAGCACAUCUCACCAUUUCAGAAUUAUUCUAAGUCAAAAAAGCAUAAAGGUAGCUUACUAACUCAAAAAUCUUAAAGUAUGGGGCUAUUCUUUAGAAAAAGGUGAUUUAACAUUAACCACUGAAAAUUCCCUUAACCCAGCAGAUAUCCUAACAGGGAAUUUAAAUCUUAAUUGCCAUACAAAAGUCCGACCACACCUACGAGGAACUCCCUUCAGGACAGGAGGAUAGAUGGUUCAUCCCAGGUGAUUGAGGGGGAAAAAACAAAAAUACAAUGGUUAUUCAGUAAUUGAUAGGGAGACUCUUGUGGAAGCAGAGUUAGGAAAAUUGCCUAAUAAUUGGUCUGCUCAAACGUGCUAGCUGUGUGCACUCAGCCAAACAUUAAAGUACUUACAGAAUCAAAAAGACUGUACCUCAAUCCUGACUCAAAAGGUUACCUACACCCUCUCUGAAAUAAAUUUGCGUAAGAACUGUUGUUUAUAGCAAUGCAUAUUGAUGGGGCAGCUGGGUUGUUAUGAAAUACUCAGGAACCCAGCCCAGCUCUAGAACUCACCUAUGAGUACAAAGGCAAUGUUGGGCACACUUGGUAAAGGACCACUAGAAUCCAGCAGCCCAGACCACUUUCUUUCUUGGUGGUCAAGAAGGGCAGGAAAACAGGUACAGUACUGCCGCAUUGGUGAGCAUAACUUAUCCAUUAAGCAGAAGUCCAUUGGUGGUUACACACCCUGGAAAAGUAUAAGCAUUAUGACCAUAGAGGACACUCUAGGACUAAUGCUCAUCAGAAAAUGACUGGGGUGCUGAUAUUCCCCCCAAGGCAAACAUUCCCUCCAAGGCAAAGAUGCCCCAAAGAUGUAUUCUGGAGUAUUCAGCCCAGUCAGAGAAUAUGUACCUGUUUCCUUGUCAGACUUGAAGAAAAUUGAAAUAGACCUAAGUAAAUUCUCAGAUAACCUUGAUGGCUAUGUUAAUGUUUUGUAAGGGUUAGGACAAUCCUUUGACCUGACAUGGAGAGAAAUAAUGUUACUGCUAGAUUGGACGCUAACCCCAAAUGAGAUAAGUGCCACCAUAACUGCAGCCUGAGAGUUUGGCAAUCUCUGCUCUCUCCAUCAGGUCAAUGAUAGGAUGACAACAGAGGAAAGAGAACAAUUCCCCACAGGCCAGCAGGCAGUUCCCAGUGUAGACCCUCAAUGGGAUGCAGAAUCAGCAAAUGUAGAUUUGUGCCACAGACAUUUGCUAAUUUGUGUGCUAGAAAGAUUGAGAAAAACUAGGAAGAAGCCUAUAAAUUAUUCAAUGAUGUCCACUAUAACACAGGGAAAGGAAGAACAGCCUACUGCCUUUCUGGAGAGACUAAGAAAGCCGCUGAGGAAGCAUACCUCUCUGUCACCUGACUGUGUUAAAGGCCAACUAAUAUUAAAGGAUAACUUUAUCACUCAUUCAGUUGCAGACAUUAGAAAAAAACUUCAAAAGUCCACCUUUGGCCUGGAGCAAAACUUACUAUACCCUAUUGAACUUGGCAACCUCAUUUUUUUAUAAUAGAGAUCAGGAAGAGCAGGCGGCAAAUUGAAUGCCUAAUGGGGCUUGCUUCCAGUGCAGUCUGCAAGGACACUUUAAAAAGAUUGUCCAAAUAGAAAUAAGCCACCCCCUCAUCCAUGCCCCUUAUGUCAAGGGAAUCACUGGAAGGCCCGCUGCCCCAGGGGAUGAAGGUUCUCUGAGUCAGAAGCCACUAAACAGAUGAUCCAGCAGCAGGACUGAGGGUGCCCAGGGCAAGUGCCAGCCAAUGCCAUCACCCUCACAGAGCCCCAGGUAUGCUUGACCAUUGAGGGCCAGGAGGUUAACUGUCUCCUGGACACUGGCAUGGACUUCUCAGUCUUACUCUUCUGUCCUGGACAACUGUCCUCCAGAUCUGUCACUAUCAGAAGGGUCCUAGUAUAGCCAGUCACUAGAUACUUCUCCCAGCCACUAAGUUGGGACUGGGGAACUUUACUUUCACAUGCUUUUCUAAUUAUACCUGAAAGCCCCACUCCCUUAUUAGGGAGAGACAUUCUAGCAGAAGCAGGGGUCAUUAUACACCUGAACAUAGGAGAAGGAACACCUGUUUGUUUCCACCUGCAUGAGGAAGGAAUUAAUCCUGAAGUCUGAUCAACAGAAGGACAAUAUGGAUGAGCAAAGAAUGCCUGUCCUGUUCAAGUUAAACUAAAGGAUGCUGCCUCCUUUCCCUACCAAAGGCAGUAUCCCCAUAGACCCAAAGUCCAACAAGGACUCCAAAAGGUUGUUGAGGACCUAAAAGCCCAAGGCCUAAUAAAACCAUGGACUAGCCCCUGCAAUACUCCAAUUUUAGGAGUACAGAAAUCUAAUGGACAGUGGAGGUUAGUGCAAGAUCUCAGGAUUAUCACUGAGGCCACUGUCCCUCUGUACCCAGCUGUACCUAAACCUUAUACUCUACUUUCCCAAAUACCAGAGGAAGUAGAGUGUUUUGCAGUCCUGGACCUUAAGGAUGCCUUUUUCUGCAUCCCUGCACAUCCUACCUCAAUUCUUGUUUGCCUUUGAAGAUCCUGGAAACCCAAUGUCUCAACUCACUUGGACUGUUUUACCCCAAGGGUUCAGGGAAAGCCCCCAUCUGUUCACUCAGGCAUUAGCCCAAGACUUGAGCCAUUUCUCCUACCUGGACACUCUUGUCCUUCAGUAUGCGGAUGAUUGAUUGAUUGACUGAUUGAUUGAUUUUGAGAUGGAGUCUCCCUCUGUCACCCAGGCUGGAGUACAGUAGUGCAAUCUUGGCUCACUGCAAGCUCCGCUUCUCAGGUUCACACCAUUCUCCUCCCUCAGCCUCCCCAGCAGCUGGGACUACAGGUGCACACCGCCACACCCGACUAAUUUUUUGUAUUUUUAGUAGAUACAGGGUUUCACCAUGUUAGCCAGGAUGGUCUUGAUCUCCUGAACUUGUGAUCCACCCACCUUGGCCUCUCAAAGUGCUGGGAUAAUAGAUGUGAGCCACUGUGCCCAGUCGUGGAUGAUUUACUUUUAGCCACCCAUUCAGAAACCUUGUGCCAUCAAGCCAUACAAGCGCUGUUAAAUUUCCUCACCACCUGUGGCUACAAAGUUUCCAAACAAAAGCCUCAGCUCUGCUCACAGCAGGUUGCAUACUUAGGGCUAAAAUUACCCAAGGGCACCAGGGCCCUCAAUGAGGAACUUACCCAGCCUAUACUGGCUUAUCCUCAUCCCAAAACCCUAGAGCAACUGAGAAGUUCCUUGGAAUAACAGGCUUCUGCUGAAUAUGGAUUCCCAGGUAUGGCGAAAUAGCCAGGCCAUUAUAUACAUUAAUUAAGGAAACUCAGAAAGCCAAUACGCAUUUAGUAAGAUGGACACCUGAAACAAAAGUGGCUUUCCAUGCUCUAAAGAAGGCCCUAACCCAAGCCCCAGUGUUAAGCUUGCCAAUGGGGCAAGACUUUUCUUUAUAUGUCAGAGAAAAAACAGGAAUAGCUUUAGGAGUCUUUACAGAGGUUUGAGGGACCAGCUUGCAACCUGUGGCAUACCUGAGUGAGAAAAUUGAUGUAGUGGCAAAGGAUUGGCCUCACUGUUUACAGGUAGUGGUGGCAGUAGCAGUCUUAGUAUCUGAAGCAGUUAAAAUUAUACAGGGAAGAGAUCUUACUGUGUGGACAUCUCAUGAUAUAAAUGGCAUACUCACUGCUAAAGGAGACUUGUGGCUGUCAGACAACCAUUUGCUUAAAUAUCAGGCUCUAUUAAUUGAAGGGCCAGUGCUGUGACUGCGUACUUUUGCAGCUCUUAACCCACACACAUUUAUUCCAGACAAUGAGGAAAAGAUAGAACAUAACUGUCAACAGGUGAUUGCUCAAACCUACGCUGCUCAAGGGGUCCUUCUAGAGGUUCCCUUGACUGAUCCCUAUCUCAACUUGUAUACUGAUGGAAGUUCCUUUGUAGAAAAAGGAUUUUGAAAUGUGGGGUACGCAAUGGUCAGUGAUAAUGGAAUACUUGAAAGUAAUCCCCUCACUCCAGGAACUAGCACUCAGCUGGCCGAACUAAUAGCCCUCACUAGGGCACUAGAAUUAGGAAAAUGAAAAGGGGUAAAUUUAUAUACAGAUUCUUAAGUAUGCUUACUUAGUCCUCCAUGCCCAUGCAACAAUAUAGAGAGAAAGGGAAUUCCUAACUUCUGAAGGAACACCUAUCAAACAUCAGGAAGCCAUUAGGGGAUUAUUAUUGGCUGUACAGAAACCUAAAGAUGUGGCCGUCUUACACAGCUGAGGUCAUCAGAAAGGAAUGGAAAGGGAAAUAGAAGGGAACUGCCAAGUGCAUAUUGAAGCCAAAAGAGCUGCAAAGCAGGAUCCUCCAUUAGAAAUGCUUAUGGAAGGACCCCUAGUAAGGUGUAAUCCCCUCUGUAAAACCAAGCCCCAGUACUCAGCAGGAGAAAUAGUAUAGGAAAACCCAUGAGGACAUAGUUUCCUCCCCUCAGGAUAGCUAUCCACCAAGGAAGGAAAAAUACUUUUUCCUACAACUAACCAAUGGAAAUUGCUUAAAAUCUUUCACCAAACCUUUCACUUAGGCAUUGGUAGCACCCAUUGGAUGGCCAAAUUAUUAUUUACUGGAUGAGUCCUUUUCAAAACUAUCAAGCAGAUAGUCAGGGCCUGUGAAGUGUGCCAAAGAAAUAAUCCCCUGCACUGCAGGCCAUUUGAAUCCCUAUAUCUUUAACUUCCUUGUUAAGUGUGUCUCUUCCAGAAUCGAAGCUGUAAAACUACGAAUCAUUCUUCAGAUGGAGCCACAGAUUCAGUCCAUGACUAAGAUCUACCACAGACCCCUGGACCAGCCUGCUAGCCCAUGCUCCGACAUUGAUGACAUCAAAGGCACCCCUCACAGGGAAAUCUCAACUCCACAACCCCUACUACAAUACAAUUCAGCAGGAAACAAAGUGAUCAUUGGCCAACCUCCCCAACAGCACUUGGGAUUUCCUGUCGAGAAGGGGGACUGAGAAGUAGAACUAACUGGAUUUCCUAGGUCGACUAAGAAUCCCUAAGCCUAGCUGUGAAGGUGACCGCAUCCACCUUUAAACACAGGGCUUGCAACUUAGCUCACACCCAACCAUUCAAGUAGAAAAGAGAGCUCACUAAAAUGAUAAUUAGGUAAAAACAGGAGGUAAAGAAAUAGCCAAUCAUCUAUCACCUAAGAACACAGUGGGAGGGACAAUGAUGGGAUAUGCACCCAGGCAUUGGAGCCAGCAAUGGAUCCCCUCCUUUUGUAUGGGAGCUCUGUAUUCACGCUAUUAUAAAGUCUUACAUCUGCACAUUCUUCUGGUCCAUGUUUGUUAUGGCUCAAGCUGAGCUUUUGCUCUCUGUCCACUCCUGCUCUUUGCUGCCAUUGCAGACCCACCACUGACUUACACCCCUCCAGAUCCAGCAGGGUGUCAGCUGUGCUCCUCAUCCAGUGAGGCACCUAUUGCUGCUCCUGAUUGGACUAAAGGCUUGCCAUUGUUCCUGCAUGGCUAAGUGCCUGGGUUUGUCCUAAUUGAGCUGAACACUAGUCCCUGGGUUCCACAGUUCUCUUCUGUGACCCACGACUUCUAAUAGAGCUAUAACACUCACUGCAUGGCCCAAGAUUCCAUUCCUUGGAAUCCGUGAGGCCAAGAACCCCAGAUCAGAGAAGAAGAGGCUUGCCACCAUCUUGGAAGUGACACAAGAUGCCAUCUGGGGAGCUCUAGGAGCAAGGACCCCUUGGUAGCACUUCCAGCUCAGCCUCCCAAAUCACGCUAUUACAAGCAUGAGCCACUCUUUGUGGCCGCCACCUACUUUUUGAACUCCAAUUGUAUUAAACACCAUAAUAGACACUUUUGUCUGUUAUAUUUCAUGGAUCAUAAACUUUUUUAUGUAUAAUUUUACCUUUUAUUUUAGAUUCGGGUGGUACAAAUGCAGGUGUUUUACAUGGGUAUAUCAUGUGACACCAAGGUUUGGAAUACAGAUGAUCCCAUCACCCAAGUGCUGAGCAUAGAAUCCAACUGUUAGUUUUUCAGCCUUGCCCCCUCCAUCUCUCCACACUCUAAUAUUCCCUAAUAUCUACUGUUCCUAAAUUUAUGUCGAUGUAUAUAUUAUAUUUCUUAGAGUUCCCUGAAUAAUGGUCAGGGAAGGUAAUGUGAAUGAUGCAAAGAUGAUUAUGAAUAAAAUAUUCAGUUUUCUGGAGUGAGCAGGACACUUUUUCAUGCAAAAUUCCAUUUGAAUCCUCCACCUCCAGCCAGCGCGGUGUAGGGAGAGGAAGAGAGACAGACCUAUUAAAAGUUAUAUUUGUUCUCUUGCAGUCUUGUGACUUACUUCUUAAUGAAAACCCUUAUUGUUUUAUAAGAAAAGGAGAAUGAAUGCAGUGUUUGAGAUGGAGUUAUCUAGAAUUUUUAGAAGCAUAAACAGACAUUGAAAAAUUAUAGAAAACAAAGGCAGAAAAGCAGAAAAGACAUAGUAGGUCAGAUGGUAUUUUAGGCAAAUACACCAUAAACUGGCCACCCAGGUCUGCAUCUCUAGGGCUUUCCCAAAGAGGAGCAAAGCAGUUUAUAUUCUAUUAUUAUCACCACCAUCACCUUUAUUUCCCCCCUUACAUGAUGGAUGUCAAUAUCAUGAUCAUUCUCGUUGUCUGUAUAACCGUCAUCAUCAUCAUUAAUACCUCAUAAAUUUUUUCAUGUUAUUUUUAACAUAGUUAGAAAGAAAGAGAUUUUGGGCCUCCCAAAUCACUAAGCUAAAAGGAAAAGUCAAGCUGGAAACUGCUCAGGGCAAACCUGCCUUCCAUUCUAUGCAAAGUCACCGUCUGUUCACUAAGACAGAUGUAUAUUCUGAUUGCUUCUUUUGGAAAGACUUAUCAGAAACUCAAAUGAAUGCAACCAUUUUUCUCUCAGCUACUUGUGACCUGGAAGCCAGUUCCCUGCUUCUGUUGUCCCCAUCUUUCUGGAAGAAGCUAAUAUACUUCUUACAUAUAUUGAUUGAUGUCUCAUAUCUCUCUACAAUGUAUAAAACUAAGCUGUUCCCCUACCAACUUGGGCACAUGUCAUCAGGACUUCCUGAGGUUGUGUCAUGGAUGUACGUCCUAAAUCUUGGCAAAAUAAACUUUCUAAAUUAAACCAG
rnacentral:lncRNA from 1 species